rnacentral:misc_RNA from 2 species
GCAAAGGGGAGUAACUUCAUUGCCGGUCGAUCGUCAUUACGAUGUGUGCAAAACCACAUCCGGUCACCGGGCAGCCAUAAAGGAAUGCGUCAGCGUAUUCCUUUAUUGUUGUAAGUGAGACCUUGCCGAAUGGCAAGGUCUAUGCAUAAAAGCAGCGGCUAAUGCCAUUCGGCGUUAGCCGUUUUUU